rnacentral:rRNA from 1 species
GGAGGAAAAGAAACCAACAGGGAUUGCCUCAGUAACGGCGAGUGAAGCGGCAACAGCUCAAAUUUGAAAUCUGGGGCCUUCGGCUUCCGAGUUGUAAUUUGAAGAGGAUGUUUCGGUUGUGACCUGGGCCUAAGUUCCUUGGAACAGGACGUCAUGGAGGGUGAGAAUCCCGUACAUGGCUGCAGGUUUACUUCCAUGUGAAACUCCUUCGAAGAGUCGAGUUGUUUGGGAAUGCAGCUCUAAAUGGGUGGUAAAUUUCAUCUAAAGCUAAAUAUUGGCGGGAGACCGAUAGCGCACAAGUAGAGUGAUCGAAAGAUGAAAAGCACUUUGAAAAGAGAGUUAAACAGUACGUGAAAUUGUUGAAAGGGAAGCGCUUGCAAUCAGACUCGCCUUCAGUUGAUCAACGUUCCUUCUGGUGCGUGCACUCUGCUGUUGGCGGGCCAGCAUCAGUUGGGGCGGCGGGACAAAGGCGGCAGGAAUGUGGCUCUCUUCGGGGAGUGUUAUAGCCUGCUGUGCAAUGCCGCCAGCUCCGACUGAGGUCCGCGGUUCUGCCUAGGAUGCUGGCUUAAUGGUUGUAAGCGACCCGUCUUGAAACACGGACCAAGGAGUCUAACAUCUAUGCGAGUCUUUGGGUGUCAAACCCAUGGGCGGAAUGAAAGUGAACGGAGGUGGGAGUCCUCGGAUGCACCAUCGACCGAUCCUGAUGUUCUCGGAUGGAUUUGAGUAUGAGCAUAGCUGUUGGGACCCGAAAGAUGGUGAACUAUGCCUGAAUAGGGUGAAGCCAGAGGAAACUCUGGUGGAGGCUCGCAGCGGUUCUGACGUGCAAAUCGAUCGUCAAAUUUGGGUAUAGGGGCGAAAGACUAAUCGAACCAUCUAGUAGCUGGUUCCAAA